AUACGUUUCUUCCAAGGUCGUUCAAAAUGUCAAUCGUCAUCCACAGAGAAGCCAACUCAACCUCACUUUGAAGUUUUAACGAACAAAUUUGUUUAAAGCUCAACUCAAGCCCAAUUCAGAGUCGUCUGUUUAGUUCAUCCGUGUACUUGACAGAUGUGUUCAAACAAUAGAAUGUAGGCGGAGUUUACGUAAACGGAUGAACAUU